rnacentral:rRNA from 1 species
AUUGAACGCUGGCGGCAUGCCUCACACAUGCAAGUCGAACGGCAGCACGGGAGCUUGCUCGUGGUGGCGGAGUGGCGAACGGGUGAGUAAUACAUCGGAACGUACCCUGAAGUGGGGGAUAACGUAGCGAAAGUUACGCUAAUACCGCAUAUUCUGUGAGCAGGAAAGAGGGGGAUCGCAAGACCUCUUGCUUUAGGAGCGGCCGAUGUCGGAUUAGCUAGUUGGUGAGGUAAAGGCUCACCAAGGCGACGAUCCGUAGCGGGUCUGAGAGGAUGAUCCGCCACACUGGGACUGAGACACGGCCCAGACUCCUACGGGAGGCAGCAGUGGGGAAUUUUGGACAAUGGGCGCAAGCCUGAUCCAGCCAUGCCGCGUGAGUGAAGAAGGCCUUCGGGUUGUAAAGCUCUUUCGGUGGGGAAGAAAUUGCACAGGAUAAUACCUUGUGUAGAUGACGGUACCCGCAUAAGAAGCACCGGCUAACUACGUG